rnacentral:rRNA from 1 species
CAAGCCCUGGAAACGGGGUCUAAUACCGGAUAUGACCUGUCCUCGCAUGAGGGUGGGUGGAAAGCUCCGGCGGUGCAGGAUGAGCCCGCGGCCUAUCAGCUUGUUGGUGGGGUGAUGGCCUACCAAGGCGACGACGGGUAGCCGGCCUGAGAGGGCGACCGGCCACACUGGGACUGAGACACGGCCCAGACUCCUACGGGAGGCAGCAGUGGGGAAUAUUGCACAAUGGGCGAAAGCCUGAUGCAGCGACGCCGCGUGAGGGAUGACGGCCUUCGGGUUGUAAACCUCUUUCAGCAGGGAAGAAGCGCAAGUGACGGUACCUGCAGAAGAAGCACCGGCUAACUACGUGCCAGCAGCCGCGGUAAUACGUAGGGUGCGAGCGUUGUCCGGAAUUAUUGGGCGUAAAGAGCUCGUAGGCGGCUUGUCGCGUCGGAUGUGAAAGCCCGGGGCUUAACUCCGGGUCUGCAUUCGAUACGGGCAGGCUAGAGUUCGGUAGGGGAGAUCGGAAUUCCUGGUGC